UACGUAGGGUGCGAGCGUUGUCCGGAAUUAUUGGGCGUAAAGAGCUCGUAGGCGGUUUGUCGCGUCGAAUGUGAAAUCCCGGGGCUCAACCCCGGGCCUGCAUUCGAUACGGGCAGACUAGAGUUCGGUAGGGGAGUCUGGAAUUCCUGGUGUAGCGGUGAAAUGCGCAGAUAUCAGGAGGAACACCGGUGGCGAAGGCGGGACUCUGGGCCGAUACUGACGCUGAGGAGCGAAAGCGUGGGGAGCAAACAGG
rnacentral:rRNA from 1 species